AUGUCUGACAAGCUCAAGGGUUGUGAGCUUCGGAAAGUGAAGUUGCGGGAUGGGAAGAAUAUGAUGUGUGAUUCGAGGCGUCGUUGCGUCUGUGCCCCACCUCCUACACUUCGUCUCCUCGGCCCUAAAGGCACUAGCAACCGGACCAAGAAAAAGAUUGAGCCAUUGUGCAGGGACGUUCAGCUGAAGGAUCUUCUCGUAGCUUACGUACCAAUUGGAAAUCAGCGAAGGCAGAAUUUUGCACUUCUAAGCCAUGACCUUGAUUUUACAAAGUUCCUCAUGCCUCCUCCUCCUAUGUACUGA
rnacentral:rRNA from 1 species